UACGUAGGUGGCAAGCGUUUGUCCGGAUUUAUUGGGUUUAAAGGGUGCGUAGGCGGUCUUACAAGUCAGUGCUGAAAUAUCCCGGCUUAACCGGGAGGGUGGCAUUGAUACUGUAGGACUUGAGUAGAGUUGAGGUUGGCGGAAUUGACGGUGUAGCGGUGGAAAUGCUUAGAUAUCGUCAAGAACACCGAUAGUGAAGACAGCUAACUAAGCUCUAACUGACGCUGAGGCACGAAAGUGUGGGGAUCAAACAGG
rnacentral:rRNA from 1 species